CUUGUUGGUGUGGCUUAAAAACACAACUAAAGACAUCCCGCACUAAGUCUAAUCCGUUUAGAAAAUUUUUUGCUUGCCCAAAAUAUGAUACGGGCGAUGCACGAUGUGAAUUCUUCGUGUGGACGGAUAUAUAUCUUUUGCUAGAUCAAAACAUUCGAACUAGAGAGACUAAAGUUUGGACUAUGUGGGAUGAGGUCUUGCUGCAAGAGUGCCAAGUGCAGAAAAGGGAGGAGAAAGUAAAUGAGAGAGAGAGAAGCCUGAAAAAAUCUAAUAGAACAUUAUUGUGUUUGUAUUGGAUUCUCACAGCUGUAAUAAUUAUAGCUUGGUUUGGAUAAAUUGGAAGUUGACUGUCAUGUAUGGAAA